GUAGGUGGCAAGCGUUGUCCGGAAUUAUUGGGCGUAAAGCGCGCGCAGGCGGUUCUUUAAGUCUGAUGUGAAAGCCCACGGCUCAACCGUGGAGGGUCAUUGGAAACUGGAGAACUUGAGUACAGAAGAGGAAAGCGGAAUUCCACGUGUAGCGGUGAAAUGCGUAGAGAUGUGGAGGAACACCAGUGGCGAAGGCGGCUUUCUGGUCUGUAACUGACGCUGAGGCGCGAAAGCGUGGGGAGCAAACAGGGAUUAGAUACCCUGGUAGUCCACGCCGUAAACGAUGAGUGCUAAGUGUUAGGGGGGUUUCCGCCCCCUUAGUGCUGCAGCUAACGCAUUAAGCACUCCGCCUGGGGAGUACGGCCGCAGGCUG
rnacentral:rRNA from 1 species